CCUGCCAGUAGUCAUAUGCUUGUCUCAAAGAUUAAACCAUGCAUGUCUAAGUAUAACUCAAUUUAUAUGAGAAGACUGCGAAUAUCUCCUUAAAUCAGCAAUCGUUUAUUUGAUCGUAACUGAAGGAUUACUUUGGUAUAAUUGGAUAACUGCGGUAAUUCUGGAGCUAAUACAUGCUAAAAAGCGGCGCGUCGCAAGGCGCGCCGCUGUAUUUAUUAGAUUUACAAAACCAAUACAGUCGUUCGGGCAUUCCAAACGCCAGCAAUGGCGGCUCGGGCGGCGAAACAAAAACUCGUUGGUGAUUCACAAUAACUUUUUCGGAUCGUGUGCGGGGCGACUCGCGACGACGUUUCAUUCAAAUUUCUGAUCUAUCAUCUUGUAGUCAGUAUAGAGAACUGACUAGGAAGCGACGGAUACGGGGAAUUAGAGUUUGGUUCCGGAGAAUCCGCCUGAGAAACGGCGAAUACAUCCAAGGAUGGCAGCAGGUGCGCAAAUUGCCCAAUCCUAAUACAGGGAGGCAGUGACAAGAAAUAACAAUGCAGGCCUCUUGAAAUAUAGAGACUGCAAUUGGAAUGAGUACAAUUUAAAACGCUUAACAAGGAACAAUUGGAGGGCAAGUCUGGUGCCAGCAGCCGCGGUAAUUCCAGCUCCAAUAGCGUAUGCUAAAAUUGCUGUAGUUGAAAAGCUCGUAGUUGGAUUUCGGAGUAAAAAGGAUGGGAUGGAGUGGUUAGCUCAAAAGGCUAACGUACGCCACCUAUCUGUCGAGAUUUAACUUGGUAUGAGGAACCAGCUGCUUUUCAAAAAGUGGCGAGUUUUUCUUCCGAGGUCUCUUUACUCCUUUUUCUUGAAUGGAGAUUUUCUUAUUUGCGUUUCGGCGUAAAGGGGAUUUUUUCAUUCAAGAAGGUACGACUGGUUUGCUCGUAGCUAUUCUUUAUUGAAUAGCUAUUAUCUCAGGAAAGUGCAGGGAGCAAUCUCUGUAUUUUCUUGGGGUUUGGUGUCAGGGAGUUUUUUUUCCUUGGCAACAGAGCUCCAGUCCUUUUACCUUGAAUAAAACAGAGUGUUCAAAGCAGGCUUAAAUUCGGCUGUCAAACGUCGAAAAACGCCUUGUAUGCUUCAGCAUGGGAUAAUGGAACAGGACCAGGUUGGGUCACGUGCAUAUUUCGUUUUGGUUUUCAGCCGUGAACAAAUUGAAUCUAAUAAAUUCACCCAACCGGUGAUGAUUGACAGGGACUGUCGGGGACAUUGGUAUUUAAUUGUCAGAGG
rnacentral:rRNA from 1 species